rnacentral:rRNA from 1 species
UUGGUGAACCAGCGGAGGGAUCAUUACUGAGUUUACGCUCUAUAACCCUUUGUGAACAUACCUAUAACUGUUGCUUCGGCGGGUAGGGUCUCCGCGACCCUCCCGGCCUCCCGCCUCCGGGCGGGUCGGCGCCCGCCGGAGGAUAACCAAACUCUGAUUUAACGACGUUUCUUCUGAGUGGUACAAGCAAAUAAUCAAAACUUUUAACAACGGAUCUCUUGGUUCUGGCAUCGAUGAAGAACGCAGCGAAAUGCGAUAAGUAAUGUGAAUUGCAGAAUUCAGUGAAUCAUCGAAUCUUUGAACGCACAUUGCGCCCGCCAGCAUUCUGGCGGGCAUGCCUGUUCGAGCGUCAUUUCAACCCUCAAGCUCUGCUUGGUGUUGGGGCCCUACAGCUGAUGUAGGCCCUCAAAGGUAGUGGCGGACCCUCCCGGAGCCUCCUUUGCGUAGUAACUUUACGUCUCGCACUGGGAUCCGGAGGGACUCUUGCCGUAAAACCCCCCAAUUUUCCAAAGGUUGACCUCGGAUCAGGUAGGAAUACCCGCUGAACUUAAGCAUAUCAAU